CGUGCUUAACACAUGCAAGUCGAGCGGUAAGGCCUUUCGGGGUACACGAGCGGCGAACGGGUGAGUAACACGUGGGUGAUCUGCCCUGCACUCUGGGAUAAGCUUGGGAAACUGGGUCUAAUACCGGAUAUGACCACAGCAUGCAUGUUUUGUGGUGGAAAGAUUUAUCGGUGCAGGAUGGGCCCGCGGCCUAUCAGCUUGUUGGUGGGGUAAUGGCCUACCAAGGCGACGACGGGUAGCCGACCUGAGAGGGUGACCGGCCACACUGGGACUGAGACACGGCCCAGACUCCUACGGGAGGCAGCAGUGGGGAAUAUUGCACAAUGGGCGGAAGCCUGAUGCAGCGACGCCGCGUGAGGGAUGAAGGCCUUCGGGUUGUAAACCUCUUUCAGCAGGGACGAAGCGUGAGUGACGGUACCUGCAGAAGAAGCACCGGCUAACUACGUGCCAGCAGCCGCGGUAAUACGUAGGGUGCGAGCGUUGUCCGGAAUUACUGGGCGUAAAGAGUUCGUAGGCGGUUUGUCGCGUCGUUUGUGAAAACCCGGGGCUCAACUUCGGGCUUGCAGGCGAUACGGGCAGACUUGAGUGUUUCAGGGGAGACUGGAAUUCCUGGUGUAGCGGUGAAAUGCGCAGAUAUCAGGAGGAACACCGGUGGCGAAGGCGGGUCUCUGGGAAACAACU
rnacentral:rRNA from 1 species